UACGAAGGGGGCUAGCGUUGCUCGGAAUUACUGGGCGUAAAGGGAGCGUAGGCGGACUGUUUAGUCAGAGGUGAAAGCCCAGGGCUCAACCUUGGAAUUGCCUUUGAUACUGGCAGUCUUGAGUACGGAAGAGGUAUGUGGAACUCCGAGUGUAGAGGUGAAAUUCGUAGAUAUUCGGAAGAACACCAGUGGCGAAGGCGACAUACUGGUCCGUUAACUGACGCUGAGGCUCGAAAGCGUGGGGAGCAAACAGG
rnacentral:rRNA from 1 species